UUUUGUCGGUUUAUUAUUUGUUCGUCGGAAAAUUCUAUUCCGAUGGUUUUGCUUAAGAUAAAAAUGAAAGCUUCUGAGCAAAAAAAAUCAAAACUUUAUCAUUUCUUUUAUCGAAAUGGUUUCACUUUAUCAUUGUUCUUGAUGUUGAGGUUUUGGAUACGUUUAGGUAGCUGGAGUUCCCGGGGUUACGGAAGAGUUGUUUGAGGCGAGACAAUCUGCUCUUGCUCUGGAGAAAGGCAAAUCAGAUGAAGCGCCUAUGCUUUACACCUGCGGAGCUUGUGGUAAAGGCUACAGGAGCUCCAAGGCUCAUGAGCAGCAUCUCAAGUCACGGAGCCACGUUUUGCGUGUUUCGCAGGGGGAAACAAGCAACGGUGAUGAGGAUGUAGCGAUAGUCACGCCGCUUACUCGCCGUUUCAAGAAUAAAGAGAAUGAGGAGAGUGAUGAUGAGUGGGUGGAGGCUGAUUCAGAUGAGGAAAUGGCUGCUGAUGCUGAGGAAGAGGCCUCGGAGGCUUUGUCUAAGUUGAAUGUGAAUGAGUCAGGAGCUGGUGAGGAUGAUAUGGAUGAAGAUGAUGCUUAUGAGCUGGAUCCAACCUGUUGUUUGAUGUGUGACAAGAAGCAUAAGACUUUAGAGAUCUGUAUGGUUCACAUGCAUAAGCACCAUGGCUUCUUCGUUCCGGAUGUUGAGUAUCUAAAAGAUCCUGAAGGGCUUCUCACUUACCUCGGUCUUAAGGUUCGGACUCUCAUCCGUUUAGCAUUCUUGUAAAGCUUUUGGACUUUUUGAAACUCCUAUUUACUCUUUAUACCAUGGAUCAUCACUCAGGUCAAGAGAGACUACAUGUGUCUCUACUGCAGCGAGCUCUGCCAUGCAUUCAGCAGCUUAGAGGCUGUAAGAAAGCAUAUGGAAGCAAAGAGUCAUUGCAAAUUGCAUUAUGGUGAUGGUGAUGGUGAUGAUGAGGAAGAUGCUGAACUAGAAGAGUUCUACGACUACAGCAGCAGGUUUCUACUAGUAUCUUAUUAUUCUUGUAUUCCUCUUUUUGUGCCAAAUCUUAAUACAUUAUCUAUCAUAUUUGAGCAGUUAUGUUGAUGAAACUGGAGACCAGAUAGUUGUAGCUGGUGAAACAGACAACGCUGUAGAACUCGUUGGUGGUUCUGAGCUCGUGAUCACCGAGAGAUCUGAGAACACAACAACGUCUAGGACUCUGGGGUCACGUGAAUUCAUGCGUUACUAUAGACAGAAGCCGCGCCCAAGUUCUCAAAACAGUAACCAGAUUGUUGCCUCUCUGUCUUCAAGGUUUGUCUCUCAAACCGUUCGAUCAUUCAACCUAUUAAACUAGAGAAUCAUCAAGUUAAUCUUAACUAAGGUUAUUUUCCAUAAUUGGUUAAUGCUCAGGUACAAGAGCCUUGGUCUGAAGACAGUGCCAUCGAAAGAGGAUAGAGUGAAGAUGAAAGCGCUCAAGGAGAUGAACAAGAGAGGCGAGACAAUGCGUACCAAGAUGGCAAUGAAGAGUAACGUCAUAAGAAACUUGCCCAACAAUGUUCCUUAUUAGCUCUCUGAGCUUGUCCUUUUGAAUUGUGCGACUGUUCCAUGUACUUUGACAAAGUUGUGUUUGUGAUAAUAAGACUGAGCUUUAAAAACAUAACUAAUAAACAUGUUCAGUAAAAUAGUAAAUGUUAAACAUUGCUGCAGCAACCAAACAAUGUAUUCAAUCAAGUAAAAUACAAGGGAAGAAAGAAAAGAUUAAACCUCCAAGUUCGUUCUUGCUAUAGAGACACAUAGUGUAAAGGGUGCGUGAUACCUGAUUUGGUAGGACCACGCUUUGCUCAAUCUGUAUAGCUGAAAAAAAAAACAGAAACAAAAAGAGUUACUACAUGUAAACCAGAGCAGAAACUACUUUCAGCUUUAUCUCAUGUUGCCAUAUACUGAAAAACACUUAUUUACACAUGAGAAUAAAAAGGAAAAAAAAACACCUUGAGCACCUCCAUCAACAUUCAAUGAUGCUACACUACGAGGGGAUACAGUUUUAAGCAUUUCCUCUGUUGCUUUAGCUCUGACUUUGCGAAUUUCAUCUUGAAUAUUCCAUGUAGGAUUCGAACGGGAUCUCCUUCUCAGCUGCAUUUUGGUAUCCAAAAUCAGAAUGCAUAUGCAUAACUUUGAGAGGAGUCAUAAGACAUACAUAACGGUAUGCAACUUCUUCUUUUUUUGAAAACUGGACAAAGAAAAAACUCAAGACUUUCAAACAAUGUUUUGACCAGAAGAUGAGUAUGCACUGCACCUUGGAAGAGGAGAAGUUUCCAGCACUGUAAGGAAACGGCGUCCCUUCCUUAAUAAGUUGCAUCCCUGCUGGUGAUGGUGAGCGAAACUCUGAAGUGUUCGCAGCUGGAGAUCCCCAUGGCAGACGAGCUCUCAUAUAUGACUUGGCCACAUCCACAGGCGAUCCACCACCAUCUUCAGUUGCCUGGAAGUUGAAAAUAAAAACUGAGGUGGUUAUCAUUGUCUAAAGCACAUUGGAGAAGAAACUAUAAAUGGUGGAAUUGGUCAAGAAAAACUAUCAGAAGAUGAUUUUUUUUUUUUUUUUUGUGAGCACAUGAUAAUACUUAAAACUACUCUAGCUAGAGAGAUCUGAACUUACUAUAGACUUUGAACUUGAUGCUGAUUUCUUCUCCUCCAACCAUCUUUUUGCUUCCAUGACAGCUUUAUUAGACAUUUCACCCACAUCCACCUCUGAGAAAGAAAAAAAGCGAGAAAAUGUUAUCACAUAGACUAAUCUCGUCUGCUUGCACAAGAUUAGUUACAUACCAUUAUCACUAUGCCUCCCCUCAUUAGGAGUGGGGACACUGGGAUGAUCUACAACCCUCGCCUUGAUGAUAUCUAUUAAUCUAUCGCCUUCUUCCCUGGAACAACAUACAAAUCAACAGCUUAACAAGCUCCUCAUGAAAAAAUAUUACAGAUUUAUUUUCAACUAUAUGUCUAGACACUUGUAAAUACCUUGCAAAUGUUUCUUGCAUGAUAAGCUGCUCAAUUACACGCUUAGAACCGAGUCUUUGGAUGGUUGAUUCCUGAAGGUCAUAUUAACACAAGAACACAUCAUAAUCGCUUCACAUAAACUGAAAUAAGACUUCCAUCAAAAAUUACAAAGUUGAAAAAGUCAACUUUGUGUACUUCUACAAAACAAUCAAACUGGUGAAAAGGUAGACUCAGCACAAAACCAUAUCGAAAAUUUUCAAACUAGAGAACCUUUGGUAACACCAUACACUAGGCCAAUAUAGCUUGAAUCAGUUCUGUGAAGAAUGAACUUGGAGAUUACAGGCCAAGGGUCUCUAAGUAAAUUUAAAACAAGGCAUAGCAUAAUCACACAAAACGAGUAAGGUGGUUAGUACCUCAACCAUUGUUUCAUCUUCGAGAACAUCCUCAUCAUCACCUUCAAUAUCAGAAAACAAAUGAAACCUACUUCAAAAGAGUAUAAGGAAGAAACAAGCAGGAUGAUGGGUGGAACAUAGUUAAACCCGUAUAUGAAAAAAAAAACAUUAGAGCUUGAGAACUUAUACAAUGAUUCACUGCAAUUAAGUGACAUUAAUGAAGGAAAUAGAAAAAAAAGGUGGAAGCUUUAAAUCAAAUUCACAUUUCAAAGAAAAAGGGUUGGUUUCAGAUUCCGAGUUUCCGACCAAACAAAAAAACCGAAAUUUCCAAACUAAUCUUGUCUGAAUCUAACGAAAGUAUUCAUUUUUUUUUGCUUAACCGAAUGAAUUAAGGCAACACAUAUAUAUACCUGAAGAUGAAUCCUCGUCCUCGGAAGAAGAUGAGGAAGAUUCAGAGAAGACGACGGAAGAAAUGAAUUUCCCGGCGCCGGAGGCAAUCACGGUGACAGGUUUGUAAACGAGCCUGGACAUCCAACUAGGGUUUUGCUGAGGAGGAUCUCUGGAUCUUGGAGCGGGGCGGUCGUACGGCGUCUUGACGGCGAAUCUCCGGCGAGGUCGAACAAUCUUGCCUCCGGAUUGAGGCUGACGUGGUCCGGCGUCGGAAUCCAUGGGAGAAGUCAGAAGGGAGAAAGUGAGAGAGUUCGUUGAUGUUUUUUCUAGUUAUUUGUCGUCUUCUUGUUCUCCUCCCUCUAUAUUUUUUUUUUAUCUGUUUUUUCUCACCCCAGUUUUGUUUCCUAAUUAACAGGGCUGCGGUUAGAAUUACUAAUCAUUUUUUUAAAUGAAAUUCAUGUUUGUUUUCCACAUUAAGGCCAAUUAUAUCUUGAUCCGCCCCCGCACGGCUGUUAGAUUUAAUUUGCGUUCAAUGUAAAUUUAUAAACCAUUAAUUUUAUAAAAUAUCCAUUUAUAUUUUUAUGUUUUGUAAAAUGUAUUUAGUGUAAAAUAUAUUAUAUUAUAAUAUAGACUAGAGCUUGACCCGCACAUCCGUGCGGGUUUUAUUUUUAUCUUUUUAUAAUUUUUUUAGUGAUAUUCUUAAAACAUAUAAGUUAUUUAGAUAUUUUUAGGUUCCUACAAACUUACCCGGAUCCGGAAGAAUCCAAACUGAACCAUGUUCGAAAAUUUAUAAUACCCGAACAUAGUUUAACUUUAAAUCAAAAAAACUCGAUAUCCAUAAAUAUUGAUAUGUAUCUGAACGAAUACAUGAAUGACCAUGUCUAAAUGAUCUAGUAAACAAAUAAAAAUAAAUUUGUUAACCGGUUUGACUUCUUGUCACUAAAGGAGUAAUUUCAUUUUGACACGUGAAAUUAUUAUGGUUAAUACGUAAAAUAAAUGACAUUGAAUUAUAAUGGUAAAUAAAAUUAAUGAAGUAAUUUUGAAAAGUAAAAAAAAAGAAUGUGAAAACGUGAUAAGAUCUUGUGCUUAUUCCAUAAAUGUUUAUCUAAGUUUUUAUGUUUGUUCUUUUAUUAUAGACGUAAAUCAAAGAUUUUCUGCUUGUUUUAAUAUUCUGGAUUCUAAAUUAAUGUAGUUCCUUUAUUAUAGUCGUGGAAAUCACAUUUAGGAAAACAAUAUAGUUCGUUUGAGUUAUUAAUAAUUUGUUUCCUUGUUUGUAGUUCGUUUGAGUUAUUUUAGGAAAACAAUGAAUAUGUAGAAAAAACAAUCAUUUUUAAUGUGAGAUUAAUUUAAUUCUUAAUGGCAUUUGGCUGUAAAUAUUGUGUAACUUUUAGGGUUAUUCUAUAAGUGUACUUUUGUUUUAAUAUAUUAGAUGUUUGAUAUUUUUUUAUCUGUACGUAAUAUUAUAUUUAUAAUUUUAUAACUUGAUGCAAUUUGAUGUAAUUGUAAUAUUCAUAUAUUAACCUAUUGAUUUUUUUGUUUAUUUAUUUAAAAAUGAUUUAAUUUUUUAGAGUAGGUUUUAUGAAUUGUUAUUAAUUUUAUGAUAUUUGGUUUUCUUGAAAAUUGUAUUGUAGCAGAUUAAUAUAUACUAUAUAUUACAAUUUGUAUUUUUUAUUUUCAGCAAAAAAAAUAACAGUUCAUUGUAAUUAAUUAAUUUAAAUUUUUGAUUUUAAGUGAAUUGACAGAUUUGUAAUUAAAAAUGAAAUACAAUUGCUAAAUGUGUAAAUAAAAAAAAAUAUUUAAUCUACUAUACGUGUUUCCAUAAUCUGUAAAUGAGAAAGAAAUACAGUAACUAAAUAUGUAAAUAAAAAAAAUAUUUAAUCUGCUAUCAUUGUUUCUAAACAACUUACAUUUAAUUUACUAUCUAAGUUUUCAAAUAGUAUCAAAAGAUACUUCAGUUUUAAUAAUAUAGAUUGAUGACAAUAUUUUAGGAAAAAAAAAAUAUUAUGGUCAAUUAUUUGUUUUUCAAAUUUUAUACUACCAAUUAGAUUAAAUUUUUGGUCAAGAUAGAUCUUACUCUAUUCUUUUAAAUUUUUCAUGAACGAACGAAAUUUUUGAAAAAAAAUCUACUCUUCUAUUUUUUUUAUGAAGAAUAAAAUGAACAACUUUUUUUCGUUUAUUUAAUUUCUUAAAUGAAUUUCUGUUUAUUAUUUUUUUUGGUAUUGGAUAUUGGAUAAACCUGCUGUUCAUUUAUUCAACGGGCUUUAACACUUUAAGCCCAAUAACAACAAAACCUUAGGCCCACUAGAAACUUACCAGCUUUUCCCCAUAACAUCAUCAAAACGAAACGAGCAAAACCAUUUGGAAUCGAUUGAUCUGUUCAUUUCUCUUCUUUCGCUCAUCGGAAUCGAUCGAGCUGGUGAGAGAUGCCGGGCUUAACAUGUAACGCGUGUAACAUGGAGUUCGAGAACGAAGCUGAACGAAAGCUCCAUUACAGCUCCGAUUGGCACCGUUACAAUCUCAAGCGCAAGGUCAUAUAUUUUUGUCGGUUUAUUAUUUGUUCGUCGGAAAAUUCUAUUCCGAUGGUUUUGCUUAAGAUAAAAAUGAAAGCUUCUGAGCAAAAAAAAUCAAAACUUUAUCAUUUCUUUUAUCGAAAUGGUUUCACUUUAUCAUUGUUCUUGAUGUUGAGGUUUUGGAUACGUUUAGGUAGCUGGAGUUCCCGGGGUUACGGAAGAGUUGUUUGAGGCGAGACAAUCUGCUCUUGCUCUGGAGAAAGGCAAAUCAGAUGAAGCGCCUAUGCUUUACACCUGCGGAGCUUGUGGUAAAGGCUACAGGAGCUCCAAGGCUCAUGAGCAGCAUCUCAAGUCACGGAGCCACGUUUUGCGUGUUUCGCAGGGGGAAACAAGCAACGGUGAUGAGGAUGUAGCGAUAGUCACGCCGCUUACUCGCC
rnacentral:lncRNA from 1 species